UACGAAGGGGGCUAGCGUUGUUCGGAAUCACUGGGCGUAAAGGGCGCGUAGGCGGCCUGAUAAGUCGGGGGUGAAAGCCUGUGGCUCAACCACAGAAUUGCCUUCGAUACUGUCGGGCUUGAGACCGGAAGAGGUAAGUGGAACUGCGAGUGUAGAGGUGAAAUUCGUAGAUAUUCGCAAGAACACCAGUGGCGAAGGCGGCUCACUGGCCCGAUACUGACGCUGAGGCACGAAAGCGUGGGGAGCAAACAGG
rnacentral:rRNA from 1 species